rnacentral:tRNA from 1 species
GCCGAUGCGUCUGUGUCUGCGCAGACUCGAACCCAGGUGCGGGUCCUGAAAAUUCUUCCCAAGCUUGAACGCGGGUUCGAUUCCCGUCAUCGGCUCCA